AUGGCACAUAUAUUUGAGCUUAUUUUCAGAUUUUACAGUGUUACUGGAGUAUGGAACAGUGUAGCAGUUGGGGCUAUCGUGUUCAGGGAAUUUUCUGCAGCGAUUUAAAAAUCGGCAAAUUUAGCUUUUUUCGUCAUCAGUUUCCGCGACCGGGAGAGCACAAAAUUCAGGUCUUGUAAACAGAAAACUAGAUAUUAGAGAUGUAUUGUAGAUGGUUUGUAACGAUAGACAUACAGUGGUGUUAAUGUUGCAAUAUCUUUAUUUCAGGUGUGUGGUUACAGACUUUUGUGUGAGGUUUUGAAAGUUAGGUAGGCGACUCUAAGCCGAGAAGCUCAGAAAACUGUUUACUGCCUCCUUAAGAGCAAAUCUUGAAAAUUUGUGUGUGGUUACAGACUUUUGUGUGAGGUUUUGAAAGUUAGGUAGGCGACUCUAAGCCGAGAAGCUCAGAAAACUGU